rnacentral:lncRNA from 1 species
AUUAUCAGAAGAUGUGGGAAUAAAUGAAGAGGUUUGUAAAAUUUUUAGUGCUGUUAAUUUAACAGUAAUUUUGUCUUAGAAUCAAUCUUCCAAUAGAACAUCUGAUUUAGCACCAAUCUAACGUGUUCUCCAUCUCUUCUUCUGUAGGGGCAGGAUGGUAGGCAAAGCUGCUUCAGUGGACAGUCGCAUGAUAGAGUAAGCUGAGGUCUGAGAAACCAUGUGAGCAUUGCCUGGCACAUGGGAAGCAGGUACGAGUGCCCAUACAGAGGUCAGAGGACAUCUUGUAAGAAUUGGUUCUCUCACGAA